rnacentral:rRNA from 1 species
GACGAACGCUGGCGGCGUGCUUAACACAUGCAAGUCGAACGGAAAGGCCCUGCUUUUGUGGGGUGCUCGAGUUGCGAACGGGUGAGUAACACGUGAGUAACCUGCCCUUGACUUUGGGAUAACUUCAGGAAACUGGGGCUAAUACCGGAUAGGAGCUCCUGCUGCAUGGUGGGGGUUGGAAAGUUUCGGCGGUUGGGGAUGGACUCGCGGCUUAUCAGCUUGUUGGUGGGGUAGUGGCUUACCAAGGCUUUGACGGGUAGCCGGCCUGAGAGGGUGACCGGACACAUUGGGACUGAGAUACGGCCCAGACUCCUCCGGGAGGCAGCAGUGGGGAAUAUUGCACAAUGGGCGGAAGCCUGAUGCAGCAAAGCAGCGUGCGGGAUGACGGCAUUCGGGUUGUAAACCGAUUUCGCCUGUGACGAAGCGUGAGUGACGGUAAUGGGUAAAGAAGCACCGGCUAACUACGUG